UCCUGGCUCAGGAUGAACGCUAGCGGAGGCCUAAUACAUGCAAGUCGGACGGCAGCGGUUGUAGCAAUACAAGCGGCGAGUGGCGCACGGGUGAGUAACGCGUACGCAACCUGCCCCCUACCGGGGCAAAGUCACGGGGAAACUGUGAAUAAUUCCGUAUGAGGUUUCGAGGCCGCAUGGCCAUGGGACCAAAGUCUUCGGGGCGGUAGGGGAUGGGCGUGCGUCUGAUUAGGUAGUUGGUAGGGUAACGGCCUACCAAGCCGACGAUCAGUAGGGGGCGUGAGAGCGUGGCCCCCCACACGGGUACUGAGACACGGACCCGACUCCUACGGGAGGCAGCAGUAAGGAAUAUUGGUCAAUGGUGGGAACACUGAACCAGCCAUCCCGCGUGCAGGACGAAGGCCCUCUGGGUUGUAAACUGCUUUUAACAGGGAAGAAACGCCUGGACUUGUCCGGGCCUGACGGUACCUGUGGAAUAAGCACCGGCUAACUCCGUGCCAGCAGCCGCGGUAAUACGGAGGGUGCGAGCGUUAUCCGGAAUCACUG
rnacentral:rRNA from 1 species